GUGAGGAAUAUUGCGCAAUGGAGGCAACUCUGACGCAGCCAUGCCGCGUGCAGGAAGAAGGCGCUACGCGUUGUAAACUGCUUUUAACCGGGAAGAAACCCCAGGACGUGUCCUGGGUUGACGGUACCGGAGGAAUAAGCACCGGCUAACUUCGUGCCAGCAGCCGCGGUAAUACGAAGGGUGCAAGCGUUAUCCGGAUCCAUUGGGUUUAAAGGGUGCGUAGGCGGAGCGUUAAGUCAGUGGUGAAAUCCUGCAGCUUAACUGUAGACUUGCCAUUGAUCCUGGCGCUCUUGAGUGCGCUUGAAGUGGGCGGAAUGUGCCGUGUAGCGGUGAAAUGCUUAGAUAUGGCACAGAACACCAAUUGCGAAGGCAGCUCACUAAGGCGAUACUGACGCUGAGGCACGAAAGCGUGGGGAUCGAACAGGAUUAGAAACCCUGGUAGUCC
rnacentral:rRNA from 1 species